UCUCUCAUAGUAUAACGGCUAGUACACAUACCGAAUAUUCCACUACGACACGGAUAUAUUGUAUGGUGGGUUCUGGGUUCGAUCCCCGGUGAGAGAA